UGGGGAAUUUUGGACAAUGGGGGAAACCCUGAUCCAGCCAUCCCGCGUGUGCGAUGAAGGCCUUCGGGUUGUAAAGCACUUUUGGCAGGAAAGAAACGUCAUGGGUUAAUACCCCGUGAAACUGACGGUACCUGCAGAAUAAGCACCGGCUAACUACGUGCCAGCAGCCGCGGUAAUACGUAGGGUGCAAGCGUUAAUCGGAAUUACUGGGCGUAAAGCGUGCGCAGGCGGUUCGGAAAGAAAGAUGUGAAAUCCCAGAGCUCAACUUUGGAACUGCAUUUUUAACUACCGGGCUAGAGUGUGUCAGAGGGAGGUGGAAUUCCGCGUGUAGCAGUGCAAUGCGUAGAUAUGCGGAGGAACACCGAUGGCGAAGGCAGCCUCCUGGGAUAACACUGACGCUCAUGCACGAAAGCGUGGGGAGCAAACAGG
rnacentral:rRNA from 1 species